UGGGGAAUAUUGGACAAUGGGCGAAAGCCUGAUCCAGCCAUGCCGCGUGUGUGAAGAAGGUCUUCGGAUUGUAAAGCACUUUAAGUUGGGAGGAAGGGCUUAAGGCUAAUAUCCUUGAGUUUUGACGUUACCGACAGAAUAAGCACCGGCUAACUCUGUGCCAGCAGCCGCGGUAAUACAGAGGGUGCAAGCGUUAAUCGGAAUUACUGGGCGUAAAGCGCGCGUAGGCGGUUUGGUAAGUUGAAUGUGAAAGCCCCGGGCUCAACCUGGGAACUGCAUCCAAAACUGCCAGGCUAGAGUACAGUAGAGGGUGGUGGAAUUUCCUGUGUAGCGGUGAAAUGCGUAGAUAUAGGAAGGAACACCAGUGGCGAAGGCGACCACCUGG
rnacentral:rRNA from 1 species